rnacentral:rRNA from 1 species
GAUGAACGCUGGCGGCGUGCCUAAUACAUGCAAGUCGAGCGAAUGGAUUAAGAGCUUGCUCUUAUGAAGUUAGCGGCGGACGGGUGAGUAACACGUGGGUAACCUGCACAUAAGACUGGGAUAACUCCGGGAAACCGGGGCUAAUACCGGAUAACAUUUUGAACCGCAUGGUUCGAAAUUGAAAGGCGGCUUCGGCUGUCACUUAUGGAUGGACCCGCGUCGCAUUAGCGAGUUGGUGGGGUAACGGCUCACCAAGGCAACGAUGCGUAGCCGACCUGAGAGGGUGAUCGGCCACACUGGGACUGAGACACGGCCCAGACUCCUACGGGAGGCAGCAGUAGGGAAUCUUCCGCAAUGGACGAAAGUCUGACGGAGCAACGCCGCGUGAGUGAUGAAGGCUUUCGGGUCGUAAAACUCUGUUGUUAGGGAAGAACAAGUGCUAGUUGAAUAAGCUGGCACCUUGACGGUACUUAACCAGAAAGCCACGGCUAACUACGUGCCAGCCGCCGCCGUAA